rnacentral:rRNA from 1 species
AGAGAUGUGUGAUGACGCAUAUCAAUAAGCGGAGGAAAAGAAACUAACUAGGAUUCCCUUAGUAACGGCGAGUGAAGCGGGAAGAGCUCAAAUUUGAAAUCUUCAAGGUUCUACCUUGACGAAUUGUAGUUUAAUAGAAGUGUUUUCUGUUAGUAGAGGUGGCUAAAAGUUCUUUGGAAUAGGACAUCAUAGAGGGUGAGAAUCCCGUAUUUGGUCAUUCCUCCUAGCGUUGUGAUACACUUUCAACGAGUCGGAUUGUUUGGGAAUGCAGUCCAAAAUGGGUGGUAAAUUUCAUCUAAAGCUAAAUAUUGGCGAGAGACCGAUAGCGAACAAGUACCGUGAGGGAAAGAUGAAAAGAACUUUGAAAAGAGAGUUAAACAGUACGUGAAAUUGUCAAAAGGGAAGCGUUUGACACCAGUGUUGUUUUCUCGAAAAUCAAUUAAAAAGUAUGGGAUUUUGUAUUGUUAAGACCUUAUCAGCUUACGGUACUUUUUUCUUACUCUUUUUAAUGCACUUUUCGUUUAACAAGUCAACAUCAAUUUCUUUUGUUGUAAAAGAGUCAUUGGAAGGUGGCUUUCACUUCGGUGAAAGUGUUUAUAGCCUUUGGCUUCUGCAAUCGGAGAGAUUGAGGUCUGCAGCGUAGAUCCUUCGGGGUUAGAUACGUAGAUGCUAAGUUAUAGUUUUUCAUAGACAACUUGUUGACUAUGAUUAAUCAUGUAGCUUACUCGUUUGCGCUAUUUUACCUACGCUUAGGAUGUUGAGUCGUAGAGCACGCAG